GGGCACUUAGCUCAGAUGGUAUAGAGCGCCUGCCUUACAAGCAGGAGGUCAGGGGUUCAAAUCCCUUAGCGCCCA
rnacentral:tRNA from 1 species